rnacentral:snoRNA from 1 species
ACAUAGGCUAUCAACCCCACAGACUCUUCCCAUGAUGCCCAAUGUGCAAUGGCUGCAAAUAGCAGCCUUCUAGGGAGUGUUUGCAGCCUGUACAAGUUGCCUAAGGGACCUUGGAGAGAAGU